rnacentral:rRNA from 1 species
AGCGAACGCUGGCGGCAGGCCUAAAACAUGCAAGUCGAACGCCGUAGCAAUACGGAGUGGCAGACGGGUGAGUAACACGUGGGAACGUACCCUUUGGUUCGGAACAACACAGGGAAACUUGUGCUAAUACCGGAUAAGCCCUUACGGGGAAAGAUUUAUCGCCAAAGGAUCGGCCCGCGUCUGAUUAGCUAGUUGGUGGGUAACGCCCACCAAGGCUACGAUCAGUAGCUGGUCUGAGAGGAUGANCAGCCACACUGGACUGAGACACCGGCCCAGACUCCUACGGGAGGCAGCAGUUAGGAAUCUUGGACAAUGGGCG